GUUUGAUCAUGGCUCAGAGCGAACGUUAGCGGCGGGCCUAACACAUGCAAGUCGAACGCGAAAGGUCUUCGGACUGAGUAGAGUGGCGCACGGGUGAGUAACACGUAGGUAAUCUACCCUUUGGCGGGGGAUAACGUUCCGAAAGGAGCGCUAAUACCGCAUAAGACCACGGAGUCUCCGGACGCUGUGGGAAAAGGUGGCCUCUUCUUGAAAGCUACCACCGAAGGAUGAGCCUGCGUCCCAUCAGCUAGUUGGUAAGGUAAUGGCUUACCAAGGCGAAGACGGGUAGCUGGUUUGAGAGAAUGAUCAGCCACACUGGCACUGGAACACGGGCCAGACUCCUACGGGAGGCAGCAGUGAGGAAUAUUGGGCAAUGGGCGAAAGCCUGACCCAGCCACGCCGCGUGAGUGAUGAAGGCCCUCGGGUCGUAAAGCUCUGUGGAGAGGGACGAAAACCCUGGUUUCAAAUAGGCUCCAGGCUUGACGGUACCUCUUUAGCAAGCACCGGCUAACUCUGUG
rnacentral:rRNA from 1 species